GGACUGUAGCUCAGUGGUAGAGUACCUGCCUCGCAUGUGUGAGACACUGGCUUCAAUCCUCAGCACCA
rnacentral:tRNA from 1 species